UCUCUGAAGCAGGGCAAAAAUGUCUCUCUGCUGCCUGUCCUCCACUACGGCAAAGAAGACAACCUCUGGAUCACUGAACUAGAAAGGAUCUUUGGUUUCCCCAAACAUUACACGGACGUGAGGAA